UUAUUUACGAUCUAAUGUCAUUA
rnacentral:snRNA from 1 species